rnacentral:sRNA from 1 species
GCCCGUUUCCGGUGCAGGUGGGGAAAAUGGCGAUGCCUACAGUGUUCUCGACUUCGUCGCGGAUGCUUGCUCUGUCAAGGCACAGCCUAUUGUCUCCUUUGCUCAGCGUGACAUCAUUCAGAUGCUUCUACAGAGGUGACAGUCCAACAGAUUCCCAAAAGGACUUGAUUGAAAUCCCUUUGCCUCCAUGGCAGGAGAGAACUGAUGAAUCCAUAGAAACCAAAAGAGCCCGCCUGCUCUAUGAGAGCAGAAAGAGGGGAAUGUUGGAAAACUGCAUUCUUCUUAGUCUUUUUGCUAAAGAACAUCUGCAGCACAUGACAGAGAAGCAGCUGAACCUCUAUGACCGCCUGAUUAACGAGCCUAGUAAUGACUGGGAUAUUUACUACUGGGCCACAGGGGGAAGGUUUUAUACAAGAAAAUGGCACAUUCUGAAGUGGAGCUCAACAGGU